GACGGAGGGGGCAAGCGUUGUCCGGAAUCACUGGGCGUAAAGGGCGCGUAGGCGGCCGAUCAAGUCGGGGGUGAAAGCCUGUGGCUCAACCACAGAAUUGCCUUCGAUACUGUUUGGCUUGAGACCGGAAGAGGUAAGUGGAACUGCGAGUGUAGAGGUGAAAUUCGUAGAUAUUCGCAAGAACACCAGUGGCGAAGGCGGCUUACUGGUCCGGUUCUGACGCUGAGGCGCGAAAGCGUGGGGAGCAAACAGG
rnacentral:rRNA from 1 species